rnacentral:rRNA from 1 species
UACGUAGGGUGCGAGCGUUAAUCGGAAUUACUGGGCGUAAAGCGUGCGCAGGCGGUUCGUUGUGUCGGCGGUGAAAGCCCCGGGCUUAACCUGGGAAUGGCCGUUGAAACUGGCGAACUGGAGUGUGGCAGAGGGGGGUGGAAUUCCGCGUGUAGCAGUGAAAUGCGUAGAGAUGCGGAGGAACACCGAUGGCGAAGGCAGCCCCCUGGGCUAACACUGACGCUGAGGCGCGAAAGCGUGGGGAGCAAACAGG